rnacentral:rRNA from 1 species
CCUACGGGUGGCAGCAGUCGAGAAUUUUUCACAAUGGGGGCAACCCUGAUGGAGCGACGCCGCGUGGAGGAUGAAUGCUUUCGGGUUGUAAACUCCUGUCAUUUGGGAACUAGUACCAGAAGAGGAAGAGACGGCUAACUCUGUGCCAGCAGCCGCGGUAAUACAGAGGUCUCAAGCGUUGUUCGGAUUCAUUGGGCGUAAAGGGUGCGUAGGUGGCGCUGUAAGUCAGGUGUGAAAUUUCGGAGCUUAACUCCGAAACUGCAUUUGAUACUGCGGUGCUUGAGGACUGGAGAGGAGACUGGAAUUCACGGUGUAGCAGUGAAAUGCGUAGAGAUCGUGAGGAAGACCAGUGGCGAAGGCGGGUCUCUGGACAGUCCUGACACUGAGGCACGAAGGCCAGGGGAGCAAACGGGAUUAGAUACCCUUGUAGUC